rnacentral:lncRNA from 1 species
UGAUUUCUAUUUUCUUUUAUUUCUUUUAAUUCCAUUUUAUUUCUAAAAUUCAUAUCUCUUUCAUUAUUGGUCCAAAAAUUAUGGGACCAAUUGCAUUAUUUCUCUUUUAACUUCUAGUUUCUAAAAAUGAUUUUUAAUAUUUUUUAUUUUAUCAUUUGAUAUUUUUCAUGAAUUUUCUCUUUUCUGGUUAUUUUUAAUUCAUUUUAAAUAGUUUUUGAUAUUCAAAAAAUAACAAAUAUUUUCUCAAUCUCUUUGAAUGAUGAUAGAUCUAUGAAAAAUAUUCUCAUCAAUUUAUUAAUUGAUUUGAGAUUUAUUUGAGAUUUUAGUUCAAUUAGGUUAUUUUUAUGCAUUUUUAAUUGAUUUAAAAUAGUUUCUAACUUUU